rnacentral:rRNA from 1 species
UACGUAGGGUGCUAGCGUUGUUCGGAAUCAUUGGGCGUAAAGCGUGUGUAGGUGGUUAGUAAAGUCGGGUGUGAAAUCCCUCAGCUCAACUGAGGAAGUGCAUCCGAAACUCACUAGCUGGAGGACGGUAAAGGAAGGUGGAAUUCCUAGUGUAGAGGUGAAAUUCGUAGAUAUUAGGAGGAAUACCGGUGGCGAAGGCGGCCUUCUGGGCCGUUCCUGACACUGAGACACGAAAGCGUGGGUAGCAAACAGG